CCAGGACGAACGCUGGCGGCGUGCUUAACACAUGCAAGUCGAACGAUGAAGCCUUUCGGGGUGGAUUAGUGGCGAACGGGUGAGUAACACGUGGGCAAUCUGCCCUGCACUCUGGGACAAGCCCUGGAAACGGGGUCUAAUACCGGAUAAUACUUUCUCCUGCAUGGGGGAGGGUUAAAAGCUCCGGCGGUGCAGGAUGAGCCCGCGGCCUAUCAGCUUGUUGGUGGGGUGAUGGCCUACCAAGGCGACGACGGGUAGCCGGCCUGAGAGGGCGACCGGCCACACUGGGACUGAGACACGGCCCAGACUCCUACGGGAGGCAGCAGUGGGGAAUAUUGCACAAUGGGCGAAAGCCUGAUGCAGCGACGCCGCGUGAGGGAUGACGGCCUUCGGGUUGUAAACCUCUUUCAGCAGGGAAGAAGCGAAAGUGACGGUACCUGCAGAAGAAGCGCCGGCUAACUACGUGCCAGCAGCCGCGGUAAUACGUAGGGCGCAAGCGUUGUCCGGAAUUAUUGGGCGUAAAGAGCUCGUAGGCGGUUUGUCACGUCGGAUGUGAAAGCCCGGGGCUUAACCCCGGGUC
rnacentral:rRNA from 1 species